rnacentral:rRNA from 1 species
UACGUAGGGUGCGAGCGUUAAUCGGAAUUACUGGGCGUAAAGCGUGCGCAGGCGGUUUUGUACGCCAGGUGUGAAAGCCCCGGGCUCAACCUGGGAAUGGCAUUUGGGACUGCAAGGCUUGAGUGCGACAGAGGAGACUGGAAUUCCUGGUGUAGCAGUGAAAUGCGUAGAUAUGCGGAGGAACACCGAUGGCGAAGGCAGCCCCCUGGGCUGAUACUGACGCUCAGGCACGAAAGCGUGGGGAGCAAACAGG